GCCCCCGUAGCUCAGAUGGAUAGAGCACAGGACUCCGGUUCCUGGUGUCGGAGGUUCGAAUCCUCUCGGGGGCGCCA
rnacentral:tRNA from 6 species